UGGUGGAUAGGUGCAUUUGUGGUAUUUGUGGCUAAUUUCUAUUUCUUUAGGAACAGCUCUCUAUUGAAACUUUUCAGGAAAGACAUGGGCUAUCUCUUUUUUUUAACAGGGAGGCAGGCAUCUAGUACCCAUUUUUUUAAUUAUUGGGACACUUGUCCAUCUUUUAUUCCCUUUUUUCUUUUAUAUUUUUGCAUAGCCACAUGUAUCCUUUAAAUACAAUAAAUGAUCAGAGAGAUAAUACUCAAAACUUAGAGCAUUAAAGACAAGUGUUAUCCUAUAGGGUGAUUGUUGGUGUUUACACCUAGUGUAGG
rnacentral:lncRNA from 1 species